UUGUAUUAGUUAUGUUGGGCCCUGGUCAAAAGUAGUGCUUUAUGAGAUAGGCUACUGUUUCAUAAAGUCAGAACCAACAAACACAACAGUCCACAUUUCACCUCUUGCCUUUUUAUAUAAAGGUCUAGAGUGUAAAGACUAAGGCCUCUGCAUAUCCAGAACAUAAAACAAACCAGCCAAAAUAAACAAUCAAAUUGGAUUAACAUUAAAAUCAAAUCAAAACAAACAAAAACGCAGACAUACAGAUCGAUUCAGAAAGAUCUGGACUGGUUCCCAAGAAGUGGAGUGGAUCAGGUGACUGGUUCCCAAGAAGUGGAGUGGAUCAGGUGGUUGCUGGAUCAGGUGGUUGGUGGAUCAGGUGGUUGCUGGAUCAGGUGGUUGGUGGAUCAGGUGGUUGGUGGAUCAGGUGGUUGGUGGAUCAGGUGGUUGGUGGAUCAGGUGGUUGGUGGAUCAGGUGGUUGGUGGAUCAGGUGGUUGGUGGAUCAGGUGGUUGGUGGAUCAGGUGGUUGGUGGAUCAGGUGGUUGGUGGAUCAGGUGGUUGGUGGAUCAGGUGGUUGGUGGAUCAGGUGGAUGGUGGAUCAGGUGGAUGGUGG